rnacentral:pre_miRNA from 14 species
UAUUCCAGAGAUGCAGGGAGCCCAACUGGUUCUCACUGCAGUGAUAAGCUAUGUUACAGUCUAUCACCGGGUGAAAAACGGUUAGGCUCUUUAAGCAUCU